AUUGAACGCUGGCGGCAGGCCUAACACAUGCAAGUCGAGCGGAUGAAGGGAGCUUGCUCCUGGAUUCAGCGGCGGACGGGUGAGUAAUGCCUAGGAAUCUGCCUGGUAGUGGGGGAUUACGUCCGGGAACGGGCGCUAAUACCGCAUACGGCCUGAGGGCGGAAGUGGGGGAUCUUCGGAGCUCACGCUAUCAUAUGAGGCUAGGUCGGAUUGGCUAGUUGGUGGGGUAAAGGCCUACCACGGCGACGAUCCGUAACUGAUCUGAGAGGAUGAUCAGUCACACUGGAACUGAGACACGGUCCAGACUCCUACGGGAGGCAGCAGUGGGGAAUAUUGGACAAUGGGCGAAAGCCUGAUCCAGCCAUGCCGCGUGUGUGAAGAAGAUCUUCGGAUUGUAAAGCACUUUAAGUUGGGAGGAAGGGCAGUAAGUUAAUACCUUGCUGUUUUGACGUUACCAACAGAAUAAGCACCGGCUAACUUCGUG
rnacentral:rRNA from 1 species